rnacentral:rRNA from 1 species
AAAACGACUCUCGGCAACGGAUAUCUCGGCUCUCGCAUCGAUGAAGAACGUAGCGAAAUGCGAUACUUGGUGUGAAUUGCAGAAUCCCGUGAACCAUCGAGUCUUUGAACGCAAGUUGCGCCCCAAGCCGUUAGACCGAGGGCACGCCUGCCUGGGUGUCACGC